AGAAACUUCGUUGUUUCUUCUCCUUCGUGGUUCGAUCUGGAGAGGAGAUGAUGAUGAUUGAGAGAAAAGAUCAUGGUCGAGUCCCCCAAACCCCAAUUGAUUCACACAAUAAAUUUGAACUCGAUUUCAAAUUUUCACUUGACUACACUUCCAUGGUCGAGUUGAUUAUUUUUCCCACUCCAGUUCACAAAAUUAUCGACAAGUUUUUUAUUUUACUUUCACUGAUCUCAAUUAUUUCAGAUUCCCAUUCUUUCAUCGUCCCAAAAUCGACUUUAAACCCCAAGGAAAGAAUAGAAGCGGAAGUACAGCUACACGAAGAAGAGGAGACAAAAGGGAAACGAAGAGAAGAAGAAUAAGAAAAAGGAUUAACCAAAAGGAAACUGUGCACCGGAAAGGUACGAAAAUUAGCUGCUGGUGGUGUCCAUCUAGCCUGCUUACAGAACAUGGUCUAUUGCUUUAGCAGCUGCUGUGGAGAUAUUAUUAAGGUGAUUGUAUCGUGGUUGGCAUCCCAACAAAUGCUCCACUUAUCAUUUUUUGAAUUAUAAGAUUUGACACGCAAAGCACCAGCUAUAGAAUUUCUCUGUUUUAUGUUUCUUGAUGGAGGUACCUCUUUGUAGCAAUGGCAGGAAAGAAAGUGUUUGUUUACCCGUCGUAGCCCUAAAAUCGUAGAUCAAACAGCAGCCACGAGUUGUAAGGCGGAAUUAUGUUCGUCGUAGACUCAUAGAUAUUGUUUUUACUUACAGUGGUAUAUGAAUUACACUUUUUUUUUGUGUGUAGAAAUGAAUAUUUGUAAUUGAAAAACUUACUGAAUGAAAAGUUGCUAUAUGUUUCGAAACGGAACGGCAAGCGCAUCGCGCG